rnacentral:tRNA from 1 species
UUAUCCUUAUUUCAAUUUGUACGAAAGGACUUUUGAAAAAAAAUAAUUUUUUAUUUAGAA